rnacentral:lncRNA from 1 species
CUUUCCUCCUCAUGGAUCUGGGAGCUUCCAGGAACACAUCAAGGAAGAAGGAGUACAGAAAGCAAGCUGUUCUGCGGCACCAGAACAUAUGAAAAGGAAGCGCAGUUUUCCACACACAGUCGCUUCCCGUCUCAGACCCCAUGACUGCAGAGUUCCAGAAAGUAAACACUGUAGAUCCAAGCAGAGUGCCAGAUGGUGGGCUGAAGUAGAACCAGCGCACAGAGACUGGAACACACAGGGCUGGGAGCUCCUUGCUCUCUUCGUCUGCUUCCACCUAUUCAGAUGUCUCCAGGGUUCAGGAAUAGAAGCUUUCACUGAAGAGACAUCAGGCAUCUAAGGAUCGCUUGACACAGUGGAAUACCAGGCACACAGUGGGAAGCUUCUCCCAGUGGGUUGCUAACAGAUGAAGAGCAGAAACAGGAAUGGGCAUGGAGCACACAGUGAGUGCAUCCAGGGACUGGAAUCUGAUGCUGGAGAACAGCCUUGGAUGGCUAACAGCAAUACCUCGGAUCCUCAAGUGAAGACAAAGAUGCUGGCAUGCAGGACCCGUCUCUAUGAGCUUCAGGAAACUACUGGAUCUAGGACACUGCAUCUCAGUCAUAUGGAUUCGACAAUGAGAGGAUCCUGUAACUUUUAGGUGAAGAUGUGAGCCAGAAAUCCCUGUUUGCUCAAGCUCCUUCCCCCAGACACCCCUGGUCACUGGUGCCCUGGUGUGAGAGGAGAGGCAAGAGCUCUGAAUGGUGCAUGUUGUCCUGACACCCAUUCAGAGAGCAGGCCAAGGACACCAAGCCAGG